AGUGAACGCUGGCGGUAGGCCUAACACAUGCCAGUCGAACGGCAGCACAGUAAGAGCUUGCUCUUACGGGUGGCGAGUGGCGGACGGGUGAGGAAUACAUCGGAAUCUACUUUUUCGUGGGGGAUAACGUAGGGAAACUUACGCUAAUACCGCAUACGACCUACGGGUGAAAGCAGGGGAUCUUCGGACCUUGCGCGAUUGAAUGAGCGGAUGUCGGAUUAGCUAGUUGGCGGGGUAAAGACCCACCAAGGCGACGAUCCGUAGCUGGUCUGAGAGGAUGAUCAGCCACACUGGAACUGAGACACGGACCAGAGGCCUACGGGAGGCAGCAGUGGGGAAUAGUGGACAAUGGGCGCAAGCCUGAUCCAGCCAUACCGCGUGGGUGAAGAAGGCCUUCGGGUUGUAAAGCCCUUUUGUUGGGAAAGAAAAGCAGCAGGUUAAUACCCCGCUGUUCUGACGGUACCCAAAGAAUAAGCACCGGCUAACUUCGUG
rnacentral:rRNA from 1 species